GGAUGGAAUGAUGAUGAUUGAUUUCCCUAUUGGUUUGAUGGCCUGAAUGAUGGCAUUUUGUAUUAGCUCUAUCUGACCAUUC
rfam:Vigna radiata var. radiata cultivar VC1973A scaffold_86, whole genome shotgun sequence